rnacentral:lncRNA from 1 species
AUGGAAAAUCAAAGCGCCGCUCGCUUGGGAGAAGAAAGCUUGAACGAAACCCCAAGACCACAAGCUAACUCAACAGCUAUGCUGGAUAACUUGCUUUCUGCACGUACAGCGCACCUGAACAUGGGUCUGUCUCAAACCAGGGAAAGUGACAGUAACUCAAUGAAUCAAUUUUCUCCCGAUUUUGAUGAGAGAUCGUCUUUGAGCUCCUUCAAAUCGAAAAGUCUCAAUCGUUCUGAAUUCUCUAAAUCCUCUUUAGGUAUUGUGAACGUCGAUCAAGUUUCAGAUUAUUACACUGGCUUUCUCACUGAUUUUGAUAAAGAUGAUGAUUCCGUGUCAUCCCAUGGCCGAAAUAGUAGAAAAUCAGAUAUAGAAAAACACCUUAGACAGUGUUUCGAGCGAGACUCUCUCGGACAAAGUUCAACCACCAAUGGGCAGUACAAAGAAAAAACAGUACCAGUAAAGUCAGCGUCAGUCAAUUCUUUUGAUAGCACUUCGGAGAAUACAGCUAACAUCAACAAAAUGAAAAAUAUUUUAAACAGUGUCAACAACUACACGAUGGGAAAUGAUCAGGUUUUGGAAAAUGUCAAUAGUGAUGUCGAUGAAAUAGAAAAUUAUUUUAAAACAUCAUGCAAGACAGCGGAGGAGUUAGAUGCUGUUUUCAAAACCUCUGACAAAGAUGGCAAAAAGAUGGAAGCCUUUUUAAAAGAUCUGCGUCACUGCCAGAAUGGUCAGUCAGAUUUUGAUGAACGCCUAAGCAAAAGCUCCAACUUUGAACCUCUGGAAAAAAGUUCAGUCAAGAAGAACAAUGAUGUCGACAGUAUUUUGGAUCCCAAAUGGACAGUGCAAGUUUCCAAUCAUUUGGAUUCUCCAGUGAUGAAUUUAAAGCACACAGUAUGA